UGCUAGAACUCGGCGUAAAGCGUGGUUAAUAGAACGGCCCCUAAGACCAAACACCCGCUGAGCUGUUAUACGCACACGCGGGUAGGAGGGCCCCCUACGAAAGUGGUCUUAACUACUAUGAACCCACGAAAGCUAGGGAA
rnacentral:rRNA from 1 species